rnacentral:lncRNA from 1 species
UGCUCAAGAGAGGGAGAGAGAGAAAGAGCUUAGAGAGAGAGAGUGAGAGGUGUUAGGGAAUAGAUGAGAGAAAGUGUCACGCCCCGCGACCACCCGCCAAUUUGGUCGGGUCGCGGCGCCGCCGACAGAUCGCCGAACGGACAGGGUUUCCCCUGUACUGCGGACAGAGUCUCCCCUGUACGUUCAAGGCAUAGCAAUCAAUACAAGUACAAUGAGUUCCAACCAGGAACAGUAUUCAAGCAAGAUUGCAGAAGAAAGAUAUCAACAACAUAACACAUCCUAUGUUAUUACAUUUAUUCACAUUCAGCCAUUUUUACAUCACAAAUCUCAUUAGAUUCCAACAUUAGCUUUCACUUAACUUCCAAAUACAAUCCAAUUUAACAAUAUUAUUACAACUUGAUUCUUUUCGUUCUUUACAUCCCUAAGUAAGGCCGACUCAGGGUACUGCUAUCUCUGGUCUCGAUGGUAGGGCGCUAACUAUGGAGCUACGCCCUCGCCUUGCGCCGCCGCGCCGCUCACGUGUGAACCUGUAACACCCCAAAACCACGUGGGGUGAGAACCAACUCCAUGGUUCCCAGUGGGUACGGCCACCCAAGGGAAGAGCUCGACCAAUAGGUCCAAGGGAGGCAACUGCAAGUUAGUUCAAUAAACAGAUAGAUAUAUAUAUCUUGAUUAUGCAACGAAUAAAACCAUGCAUUGCCUCACGAAUACAAUAAUGCAAUGCUAUAUGCAAAUCAUGCAAUAAUGCAACUAUACAGCCAACUAGUAGUUCAUUUGACACUACUUUCAAUUCUGCUAACCAUAACUCAUCCAUUCGAUAUCUAAGGUUUCCUCUAGUUUAGAUUCUGUCAAUCACCGUUUUAAUCAUAAAGUUUCAUCUACCUUUACAAGGCUAACCACCCGACUCGUCUUGAGUCAAUCGUCUGCGGAGUACCGCACUAGAACCAGGCUCGAGCGAUGGACGUCUCACAUACACCUCAGCCCUAAAUCCUCUCGACUAGGAUACCAAAUCCAUAACUCAUAAUGUAUACUUGUUGUACACUCACUUGGCUAUGACCAAUCUUACCGGUUAACCAUGUUACCCCAAUAACUCACUACCAAAAUCCCUUAAUAACGGGGGACUCGAACCUCCCUGGGGACCGUCAUCUGGGGGACUUUACCACGCCCAGUGGUGACCAACUCCGGAGCGACCGCCGAGGGGAGCUACUCCCUCAAGCCAAGACGUAACGUAAGUAUCGAUCCAAUCCUCAACUUGGAUUCAUAGCCACUCGUCACAAUGCCAAUGUCAUGAUAGUCUCUACCUAUUUAAUCAUGCCACCUCUAUGUCAACUUGGACCAAUGUCAAUAUGGUUAAACUAUGUUUAACAAUCACUUUCUUGAUGCAAUCAUGUCUCUAUUAUCAUUGUCACCCUUGUUUACUAAUGUUCAAGUUCAACUCUCACAUUUACACAAUAAUUAGGUCCUAACAUACAUGAAUGACACCAGAAUAUAUAUGAUCAAUCACCACAAGUGUUUGCUAGGUUCAAGAUGCUAGGUUUAAUGCCACUCGAUCUAAUAUAUAUAAGAUUGUCCACUAUGGUCCACAACAUGGCAAUACGUCAUCAAGUAUGUCUUUCUAUUUAACAUAAUCCACAAUAUGUAAAUUCAUAAUAUAUCAUCAUGCACAUAUACCACUAGCAUCACAUGAUUUGUCAACAUACAUAUAGUCAUUAUCCAAAAUAGUCCAUACUUAGCCUCUCAUGCAUUCUUUUAGCACUUAAUUCAUUAUGCAUUACAUUUAGCAUAUUCUACAACAUGUAAUCUACAUUCCUUUUAUGAUGUUCUUAUAAUGCUAACAUUCAUACGCCCUUUAUAUAUGCAUUCAAAAGCAUUAAUCAUAUGCAUUUAUCUAGCAUUUCUAUAGUAUGUUAACAUGCAUUCUUUCACAUUCUUAUAUUAUGUCAAUAUGCAUCAAUAUGAAAUCUCAUUUCUUAGACAUAAAGGCGACCUAGUCGCUUCGUAAGCACAACCCACCUCAUUUCGCAUUCUGAUUGCUUGUCGACACUUGCAAUCGGCCGCCCGCGGCACCCGGCAUCCGGUUUGGCC